UGAUCUGAAUAAUUUCAGGUUUGACCCCAUCAAGGAGUCCAUCGUCUCACGUGAGAUGACACGCAGGUACAUGAUGGACAUGAUCACCUAUGCUGAUACCGAUGUGGUGGUCGUCGGUGCCGGCUCCGCCGGGCUCUCUUGUGCCUAUGAGCUUAGCAAGAACCCCUCCGUACAGAUAGCUAUUGUCGAGCAGUCUGUUAGCCCCGGAGGUGGUGCCUGGCUCGGUGGGCAGCUUUUCUCUGCCAUGGUAAAUCUUAAAAAAACAAAAAUCAUUUUGGGUUCUCUUUUAUGAAAUUUCUUUUGUUUUAAGGCCUUGAAAUUGUCUCAAACUCUAUGUUUAUUCAGGUAGUGCGGAAACCAGCUCAUCGCUUCCUCGACGAACUCGCCAUUGAAUAUGAUGAACAAGACGACUAUGUUGUGAUCAAGCAUGCAGCCCUUUUCACAUCCACUAUCAUGAGCAAGCUUCUAGCCCGCCCCAACGUGAAGCUGUUCAACGCUGUGGCGGCGGAGGACUUAAUAGUGAAGGAAGGGAGAGUUGGUGGUGUUGUGACAAACUGGGCCCUGGUGUCAAUGAACCAUGACACACAGUCCUGCAUGGACCCUAAUGUGAUGGAGGCCAAGGUGGUGGUGAGCUCUUGUGGUCAUGAUGGGCCAUUUGGAGCCACCGGGGUGAAGAGGUUGAAAAGCAUUGGGAUGAUUGAUAGUGUGCCAGGGAUGAAGGCACUGGAUAUGAAUACAGCUGAGGAUGCUAUAGUGAGGCUGACUAGGGAAAUUGUGCCUGGGAUGAUUGUCACCGGGAUGGAAGUUGCUGAGAUUGAUGGAUCCCCAAGAAUGGUAAUUUUAUUCCCACUUGCACAGUCAUUUUUAUUACUGUUGUUGUUGGACUAUUAUUAACAUAUUAACAAAUACAGGGGCCAACAUUUGGAGCAAUGAUGAUAUCAGGGCAAAAGGCAGCCCAUCUUGCCCUGAAAUCAUUAGGAUUGCCUAAUGCAAUUGAUGGAACAUAUGUGGGAAGCAUUCACCCGGAGCUGAUCUUGGCCGCUGCAGAUUCCGCCGAGACCGCUGACGCUUAGUUGCAAGGGUCAUAGUUGCUAAACUGCUAUGGAGAUAGGAGGAAUUGGAAUAAUGUGCAGUCAUUGGUAGGAUUUGGAAUAAUCUCCUGUAACUUAGUAGCAAAACCUUAGCAUUUUGUAGCUUGUUGUUCUUCUCCUUGCAUGCCUUUUAAUUGAGUUCUGUUCUCUUUCUUCUUUGUCUUCUAUAUACUUGCAACUUCCACAGUUAAG
rnacentral:lncRNA from 1 species